rnacentral:rRNA from 1 species
AAGUGAGAAUGCCGGUGUGAGUAGCGAAAGACGGGUGAGAAUCCCGUCCACCGAUUGACUAAGGUUUCCAGAGGAAGGCUCGUCCGCUCUGGGUUAGUCGGGUCCUAAGCUGAGGCCGACAGGCGUAGGCGAUGGAUAACAGGUUGAUAUUCCUGUACCACCUAUAAUCGUUUUAAUCGAUGGGGGGACGCAGUAGGAUAGGCGAAGCGUGCGAUUGGAUUGCACGUCUAAGCAGUAAGGCUGAGUAUUAGGCAAAUCCGGUACUCGUUAAGGCUGAGCUGUGAUGGGGAGAAGACAUUGUGUCUUCGAGUCGUUGAUUUCACACUGCCGAGAAAAGCCUCUAGAUAGAAAAUAGGUGCCCGUACCGCAAACCGACACAGGUAGUCAAGAUGAGAAUUCUAAGGUGAGCGAGCGAACUCUCGUUAAGGAACUCGGCAAAAUGACCCCGUAACUUCGGGAGAAGGGGUGCUCUUUAGGGUUAACGCCCAGAAGAGCCGCAGUGAAUAGGCCCAAGCGACUGUUUAUCAAAAACACAGGUCUCUGCUAAACCGUAAGGUGAUGUAUAGGGGCUGACGCCUGCCCGGUGCUGGAAGGUUAAGAGGAGUGGUUAGCUUCUGCGAAGCUACGAAUCGAAGCCCCAGUAAACGGCGGCCGUAACUAUAACGGUCCUAAGGUAGCGAAAUUCCUUGUCGGGUAAGUUCCGACCCGCACGAAAGGCGUAACGAUUUGGGCACUGUCUCAACGAGAGACUCGGUGAAAUCAUAGUACCUGUGAAGAUGCAGGUUACCCGCGACAGGACGGAAAG